rnacentral:sRNA from 1 species
ACGUACCUUUAGUACGUUCCGGUUCCUGCGCUCCGUCCGCCUCGCCUGACAGCCGCUCGCGACGCGUCACCA